GACAGAGGAUGCAAGCGUUAUCCGGAAUGAUUGGGCGUAAAGCGUCUGUAGGUGGCUUUUCAAGUCCGCCGUCAAAUCCCAGGGCUCAACCCUGGACAGGCGGUGGAAACUACCAAGCUGGAGUACGGUAGGGGCAGAGGGCUCGUAGAGCCGGUGGAGCGGUGAAAUGCGUAGAGAUCGGAAAGAGCACCAAUGGCGAAAGCACUCUGCUGGGCCGACACUGACACUGAGAGACGAAAGCUAGGGGAGCAAACGGG
rnacentral:rRNA from 1 species